UAAUUAUUAACUGCACCGGCAGGAAUUCAUUUAUUGGCUUAAAGUGCUUUCGAGUUCUAGCGGGGAUAAAGGGAUCGAAUAAAGAUUCGUCCUUUUAAAAAGUGUCACAUUUUCUUCUAUUAAGAACAAAAAUACAAAAGUUCAACAUCAUGCUUUUUUUUGUAGAAUCUACUAGCGAUGUACUUAAACUAUUAAAAAAAUCAUAACUGUUGAAAAUGGCGGCGGGAAGGAGAGCGAGGAUCCAUCAGAAAAAAAAGUUUUUAAAAAACUCAUUUAUGUCUGGCUCCAAAAAAAAUCUACUUUUACUGUUGCCUGGAAAAGUGGGAAAAGAAAAGUGUUGCUGCUGAGUGCCUCCUUCAGAUGUUACGUAACCAUUUAAUGAAAAGAAGCUUACACUUUUAAAGCAUUGUGAAACGGAAUUUCUCUCUGCAGUCACAAUCGCAUCCCCAGGAGUUACGUGGGCUGUUUAAAAUACUGUCAGUGUCUUACUGGAAAUGUAUUCUGAUCAUCAGUUUGUACGAGUUCAGGGCCGGAUUGCACCUUGAAGACAGUGUAUUGUCCAAUCACGAAAAUUAUGAAAGAGUCCUUGAUGAGUUGGUGGUAGGUGGAGGAAUGUCCUCCCCGGCGGGUCCUUGGGGAAGAGCUCGGCAAAAAAAAGGGUUUAGUUUUGUUGUUUGGGAACGGAAACCGAAAGAACCAAAAACCACGACAGAAUGUACAUCACAAAGAGCAAGGACAUCAAACCAACAUAACAAUCACAAACCACAUUAUGUGACUCAAUUAUGGUAUUGAAGGUCACCAAAGUACGCGAUGAAAAGUUAGUAAAUUUACACUGUCGCUACUUAGCAUUACUCUGAAAAUUAAUCUGUGGCAAGUGCUGCUGUGAAGUUGUAACCCUCGGGAAACAUAUCGGCGUUGGGUUCUCGCUGCAUGUGAAAUUUACCUGGCUAUAUUAAUAAUCUAUAGAAAGUGGCACGACAAGAUGCUGCGCGAUGCUUGGAAAUUGGAGGAAAAUUAGACUAUACGCUAAUUUUCUGAUUUGGGUCUUGUACACCGAACCCUGUCAUCCGAGGUGAAAAGUCUCAAAAGGCUGGCUGGAAUCCUAUCGUAUCUUCUGAUUUGCUUCCAGUUUUACUUUUGCCAAUGAAUGAUGUAUGACCACCAAAAUGUUGAUGAUAACAGGAAACAGAGGAGAAGUUUUUCAGGCGUUAACUGACCUAGAGGGUGCAAUCUUAUAGGGAUGUGAACGAUAUGGGUUAUGGCGAAAAAUCUGGUAGAAUUACGCAAGGAGUCCAGCGAGACCUAUCUUGACAUUGGGAACAACUUGCUGCAUCUUUUAACUAAGUUCCAGGCAUCAAGGUGGAAUUCUCACUAGGCAGUGCUCUUCAUGGACAAUCCAUCUGGAACAAAUUAAAAUGGAACCUUUAGAUUCAGACUCUCAAUCAAUCAUCAAAGCUUCAUUGGACAGUAAUUAUUUCAGGCAUUACUGUACAAAACAAUAAUGUUGAGAUGUAAAGCCUUCUGCUGAAAUUGAUGAUGUCACACAGUCUUUGUGUGGAGACAGAACAAGAUCCCAAUGGAGACAGUUAUAACACACCAGCCUCCUGGUUACUUGUAAUUAUUCUGAAUUAGUUAAUGAUAAUUAAUUUGGCACGGUGGCUCAGUGGUUAGCACUGCUGCUUCACAGCACCAGUGACCUGGGUUCGAUCCCGCUCUUGGGCGACUGUCUGCGUGGGUUUCCUCCGGAUGCUCCGGUUUCCUCCCACAGUCGAAAGAUGUGCAGGCUAGGUGGAUUGGCCAUGCUAAAUUGCCCGUAGUGUUCAAGGAAUGCCUAGAUUAGGGGGAUUAAAGGGUGAUUGGUCUGGGUGGGAUGUUCUGAGGGUCAGUGUGGACUUGUUGGGCUGAAGGGCCUGUUUCCACACUGUAGGGAUUCUAUGAUAAUUGUAACUUAUGACACAUUUAAUGCAUGAUAACAUAUAUUACAAGUGCCUCUUCUUAUUAAACUUCUAGUGGUUUAUCUUCUACUACGUCUCUGCAGGAGUUCUUCAGAGCAGUGUCCUAGACCCAAUCAUCUUCAGCUGCUUCACCAAUGACCAUCAUCAGGUCAGAAAUGGGGAUGUUCACUGAUGAGUGCACAAUGUUCAGCAUCAUUUGCAACUCCUCAGUAAGCAGUCCACAUCCAAAUGCAGUAAGACCUGGGCAAUAUCCAGGCUUGGGCUGACAAGUGGUAAGUAACAUUUGUACCUCACAAAUGCCAGGCAAUGACCAUCUCCAAUAAGAGACAAUCUAAUUACCACUUCUUGAAAUUCUGCAACAUUACAAUCACUGAGCUCCCUACUAUGAACAUCCUGGGAAUUUACUAUUGACCGGAAACUCAACUGGACUACCCAUAAAUACAAGAGCAGAUCAGAGACUAGGAACACAAGUGAGUAACUCCAAACUCCCAAAGCCUGUCCACCAUCUACAAGGCACAAGCCAGAAGUGUGAUGGAAUAAUCCCUACUUACCUGGAUGAGCGCAACUCCAGCAAUCAGGAAGCUUGAAACCACCAUUGACAAAGCAGCUUGUUUGACCACAUCCACAAACAUUCAUUCCCUAAACCACUGUGGGAGCAGUGUGCACUAUCUACAAGAUGCACAGCAGAAAUUCACCAAAGGUCCUUAGACAGUACCUUCAAAACUCAUGACCACUACCAUCGAGAAGGAAAAGGGCUGCAGAUAUAUUGCAACACCACCACCUGCAAGUUUACCAUCUUGAUUUGGAAAGAUAUCAUUAUUCCUUCGGUGUCAUUGGUUCAAAAUCCUGGAAUUCCUUGCCUAUCGGCACUAUGCAUCUACCUAAGAACAUAGACUGCAGCAGUUCAGGAGAGCACUUCACCAUUACUUUCUCAAGGGCAACUAUGGAUGGGCAAUAAAUGCUGGCUCAGCCAAUAACAUCCAUGCUCCAUGAGCGAAUUUGAAAAAAAGCUCAUAAUUAGACAGUACCUUGGACUCAGCAUGGAUCUCUCCCAGCCUCAAGCCACCAGUCAUUGAUGCCAGAACUUACAACAGUUACCUUGUUACACAAUUUAUUUAAUUAUUUGUAAUGAAAUACAUUAUACUCUGCUUCUUA